AAGCCAUCGUUCUUCCUUCCCUCUCCCUUCCUCUCUUCCUCCCUCUCCCCUUUUACCUUCCUCCCUUCUCCUCAAUUUUCAGAGACAAAAGAUUUCCCUUAUUUGUCUUCAUUUUGUAAUGAUUUUCCUCCAUUCAGCAAAAGCAAAUGCUUCUUGAUGUUUGGAAUAAGUCGCUUAGAUUCUUUGGAUUUUAUGUGUAGUUUUCAUCUUUCCUUUUGUGAGAGUUUUUCACCUUUUGUUUGUGAGAUCUUUCCAGCUCUUCUUUGUGAGAGUUUGAUUUAUUUUGUUAUGGCUUGGUCUUUUUAAGCUUUAUAUAUUUUUGAUUGUUCUGAGUUUGCAAUCUUAGUUAGGAUGCCUGUAUCAGAGUUUCUUUGAUCAUGCGUGAUCGUCAAUGGAGGAACCCUAUAUUUUCUUAAUUUUGAUGUUAGAUUACUCUGUUAUUGUAAUGGCCCUUUGUGGCUAGUGGCUUUUUUGGUUAAAUUAUGAA
rnacentral:lncRNA from 1 species